UUAACUCAGCGGUUAGAGUAUCGCUUUCAUACGGCGGGAGUCAUUGGUUCAAAUCCAAU
rnacentral:tRNA from 2 species